rnacentral:rRNA from 1 species
AUUGAACGCUGGCGGCAUGCCUUACACAUGCAAGUCGAACGGUAACAGGUCUUCGGAUGCUGACGAGUGGCGAACGGGCGAGUAAUACAUCGGAACGUGCCUAGUAGUGGGGGAUAACUACUCGAAAGAGUGGCUAAUACCGCCUGAGAUCUACGAAUGAAAGCAGGGGAUCGCAAGACCUUGCGCUACUAGAGCGGCCGAUGGCAGAUUAGGUAGUUGGUGGGAUAAAAGCUUACCAAGCCGACGAUCUGUAGCUGGUCUAAGAGGACGAUCAGACACACUGGGACGUAGAACAGGCCCAGAAUCCGACGGGGGGCAGCAGUGGGGAAGUUUGGACAAUGGGCGCGAGCCUGAUCCAGCAAUGACGGGUUCAGGAUGAAGGCCUUCGGGUUGGAAACUGCUUUUGUACGGAACGAAAAGCCCUGGGUUAAUACCCUGGGGUCAUGACGGUACCGUAAGAAUAAGCACCGGCUAACUACGUGCAAGCCGCCGCCGUAAUAC